AUGCAGCAUUUUUUAGUUAAUAUCGCCAAGAACAGCUAAGGGUUAAAGAAACUUAAAAAUUGAAAUGGCAAGAAGAUCACUCUUCAAUAUUUCAAUGUUGGUCGUCGUCUUUUUAAAUGGAGCAAUACUAGCGAUUGCAAGAGAAGCGCCAGAAGAACCACUUUCUCCUGCUUACUUUGAUUUCGCAGCACUACCACCGCUGCCAGGCCAAUGUCAGGUGCGCAUGGAUAAGAUAGAACAGAUGCCAGAUUCGUGUGGAGAAACAUUGGAGAGGCUCGUGCUGAGUAAAACCCUACCGGUUGCAAAAGAUGCAAUUUGUUGUGGGGAGUAUAUUCAAAGAAUCACCAAGUCAUGCUGGGAUGCACUCAUGGAAUGGCUCGAAGCUCUUCCUGAUCAACAAAUAUAUUCUAGAUAUUCCAAAAACAUUCAUCCAUGGGCGGAGAACACCUGGAAUACAUGUCUGAACCUCACAAAAUCCGGUAUUGUUCACCUUUUCCACAAUGAGUUCAUCUUUUCCACAGUGAGUUCUGAAAACCGGACACUAUCACGAUUAAUAUCCAGAAUAAGUGAAGAAAACUGGAACAUGAUACUGCGCGCACGUUGAACAUACAGUGAUGAAACAUUUCGGUGAUUCUUAAAAUCCGGAGAGAAGAAGACCAUAAUCGUAAAUCUGGUAUAGAUUUCAAAUUACGGCACCACAUGAUAUCUAAUCUCUCAAGCAAAGGAAAUGAAUUUACGGUUGGAGGAAGUGCACACCAUUCUUCCAAGUUUUUCAUACUUUCAAUUGUAAACCUCGUUAGCGAAGGGAAUAAUGUUGUUGUUGUUUCUUUUUCCUCUACUUCUUCUUCCUGCUGGUAAUAAAAUUGUUUACCCAAA